CAACACAGAAAUGAAGUUGUUUCUUUUUCAGUGUGAUAGUGACAAACGCAUCGACAAGAGAUCCAACUGCCAUUCGAGUUUUUUUUUUCGAAGUUAAUGGCGGUGUGCAAUGUGUUUGUGCGAAAGAAAACCUAAAAUUAAACGGAUUAUAAUGCAUAAAUUUCAACCUCAUACCGGGAAACAGUACGCCAUUGCGCGAGCGGAUGUGGUUGAGCAGCGAAAAAACGAAGGAACAUGCAGCACCAUCGAAAUCUGCGAAGAGGCACUGGUGAUAAUAUCAACAUUUCAAUAUGAUAUAAGAUGGUAAAUAAUAAUUAUAUAAGAAGAUGGUAAAUUAAAUAUAAAUAAAACUUGUUUGAUGA